rnacentral:rRNA from 1 species
UACGUAGGCAGCAAGCGUUGUUCGGAGUUACUGGGCGUAAAGAGUAUGUAGGCGGUUGGGUAAGUUUGGUGUGAAAUCUCCCGGCUUAACUGGGAGGGUGCGCUAAAGACUGCCUGGCUCGAGUGUGGGAGAGGAAAGCGGAAUUCCUGGUGUAGCGGUGAAAUGCGUGGAUAUCAGGAGGAACACCUGCGGUGUAGACGGCUUUCUGGACCAUAACUGACGCUGAGAUACGAAAGCGUGGGUAGCAAACAGG